UGUAUCUGAAGCCUGGCGAGGAUGAGAACCUCCGGGGGCAAGAGGUUCGACCCGAGCGAAGCGAGAGAACGUUGCGCCAGCAACGGCCCGCAGGGCGAGCCACGUAGUGGCGAGUC
rnacentral:sRNA from 1 species